rnacentral:rRNA from 1 species
GGUGGAUGCCUUGGCAUGCACAGGCGAAGAAGGACGUGAUACGCUGCGAAAAGCCGUGGGGAGCUGCGAAUAAGCUUUGAUCCAUGGAUCUCCGAAUGGGGCAACCCACCUCAGAUAUCUAGAAAAUCUGUUUUGCUGAACUUUUUGAUCUCACGCGCCGUACCGCACUUCCUUUGGAAGUGCUGGCGCUGCGAUGGCGCGGCGGACGCCCGCCGACGGCCUAUCGGCCUGUACUGGUGCCUUGCUCGAUCUUGAGUUUGGCAGCCAUACAGCGCGGUAGCGCGUCGGCCACGUUUGGCCGCCCCGUCUGGAGCGCAGCGGCCUUUGGCCGCGACAGCGUGAAGACAAAAGAAAACCCGGCGAUGCCGGGUUCAAGGGUUCAGCGAAAGAGGUUUCUAGAUAUCGCAAUGAGGUAUCUGCACCUGAAUACAUAGGGUGUAAGAAGCGAACGCAGGGAACUGAAACAUCUAAGUACCUGCAGGAAAGGACAUCAACCGAGACUCCGCAAGUAGUGGCGAGCGAACGCGGACCAGGCCAGUGGCAAUGAU